ensembl:lncRNA
CUCUUGCAUGACAACUGAGUUAAAAUGGAAAUUAGCUUCACUCUGCCAACCACCCUACCCUUGGCCCUGACAGUGCUUAUCCUCUUGUGUCACAAGGGACAAAUGAUGUCUAAUUGGUGUUUUGAGUUUCAUAGAGCUGAGAAGAAGACAUCUGAAGGACAGUAGAUGCUUGGCCAUGGGUAUAAUUUAGGUACUGGCCAUUUGGCACCUAAAAGGACAACUGUGGAUUUUCCUGGACUACAAAUUACUGACAAGGAGAACAUUAUUCAACUCUAGUUGAUGGCUUCAAUUUAGCUUUCCCAGGGCUGAGGGAUUUGUGGAUCCCAGCCCAGGCAGAGGAAGGGGCCUGAAGCAAACCUAACUCUGCUUUCCUUCAGCUGUCUUCCCAGCUCCACCUUGCUGGAAAGGAGCUUUUGGGACAGUCUCACCACCUCCCAUUGAGCUCAAGGGUCCACGAGGCUAUCUCCAGGCUUCCUCCUGGCAUGGUAGCCUCAGAGUCGUCUAAUUUAUCCAUGGCUGCUGAGGCUCCAAGAGUG